rnacentral:tRNA from 1 species
GGUAGGAUAGCCGAGUGUUAGGCGGUGGGUUGUAGCCCCGAAGAUAAAGGUUCAAAUCCUUUUCCUAUUA